rnacentral:rRNA from 1 species
UUGAACGCUGGCGGCAGGCCUAACACAUGCAAGUCGAGCGGAUGAAGGGAGCUUGCUCCUGGAUUCAGCGGCGGACGGGUGAGUAAUGCCUAGGAAUCUGCCUGGUAGUGGGGGAUAACGUCCGGAAACGGGCGCUAAUACCGCAUACGUCCUGAGGGAGAAAGUGGGGGAUCUUCGGACCUCACGCUAUCAGAUGAGCCUAGGUCGGAUUAGCUAGUUGGUGGGGUAAAGGCCUACCAAGGCGACGAUCCGUAACUGGUCUGAGAGGAUGAUCAGUCACACUGGAACUGAGACACGAUCCAGACUCCUACGGGAGGCAGCAGUGGGGAAUAUUGGACAAUGGGCGAAAGCCUGAUCCAGCCAUGCCGCGUGUGUGAAGAAGGUCUUCGGAUUGUAAAGCACUUUAAGUUGGGAGGAAGGGCAGUAAGUUAAUACCUUGCUGUUUUGACGUUACCAACAGAAUAAGCACCGGCUAACUUCGUG